GCUGAGUGUGAGUUGAUCUAGAGAAAAGCCAAAAUUUAAAAACGAGUGAAAUUGGGUGAUACCAUUAUUUGAGUGAAACACGUGAGGGAGUUAAGUGAGGAACUAUUUUUUUGCUUUACUAACAUCUUUUUGCAGCUUAGUACAAGAUGAGUGGACAAGCAAAUAUCCACAAAAUGAGUUAGAUAGGUUCCAAGCCUCAACGAAACUGAUAACAGCUAUAGAUGGAAGAUAUGGUGAGAUUAUUGAUCGAAUGGAGAGGCUAGAAAGUUUUGGUUACAAGGGGGCAGCCACCAAAUACUCCUAAUCCAGCCAUGCGUGGUAGAAGAUUUCCAAAUAGAGUUCAAGAGAGUAAUGACUUCGACGAUGAUGAAUCACGUGGUGAUAAUGAAGAAGAAGAGGAGGUGCAACCAAGAGCAAGAAACGACAAUAAUAGCAACUUUGGUGGUGUUAAAUUGAAGAUUCCAUCCUUUCAUGGAAGAAUGGAUCUUGAAACUUACUUGGAUUCGGAAAAGAAGAUUGAAGUAGUAUUUGAUUGCAA
rnacentral:lncRNA from 1 species